rnacentral:rRNA from 1 species
GAUGAACGCUGGCGGCGUGCCUAAUACAUGCAAGUCGAGCGAACAGACGAGGAGCUUGCUCCUCUGACGUUAGCGGCGGACGGGUGAGUAACACGUGGAUAACCUACCUAUAAGACUGGGAUAACUUCGGGAAACCGGAGCUAAUACCGGAUAACAUGUUGAACCGCAUGGUUCAACAGUGAUAGACGGUCUUGCUGUCACUUAUAGAUGGAUCCGCGCCGCAUUAGCUAGUUGGUAAGGUAACGGCUUACCAAGGCAACGAUGCGUAGCCGACCUGAGAGGGUGAUCGGCCACACUGGAACUGAGACACGGUCCAGACUCCUACGGGAGGCAGCAGUAGGGAAUCUUCCGCAAUGGGCGAAAGCCUGACGGAGCAACGCCGCGUGAGUGAUGAAGGUCUUCGGAUCGUAAAACUCUGUUAUUAGGGAAGAACAAAUGUGUAAGUAACUAUGCACGUCUUGACGGUACCUAAUCAGAAAGCCACGGCUAACUACGUG